CAGAUCCUUACCUCUUCACCUUUCGCCUUCUUCCUCGACCCGGCAGUCUGUGAUUAAACAGCCCUUGCCGCCUCCCUCGCCCUGCCGGCCGCUAGCCAUUCCACCCGCGGCCCAACUCAGAGCAGGUUCACCUUCUAUGCCUUCCAAAAUGCCACUCUUAUUCAAAGUUUCGUGCCUGUUCCCUUGCGGCUCCCUAAAUCGGCAAUUUCCUACUGACCUGUACUGAUGGGCUCCCUCUCCCUUCCUCUUCUCCCGGCCGUCUACUACUUGUACUCAUUCGUCUGAUCUCCUCCAUUUCCGUGGCACUCGGUCUUCUCCAAUCUGCUCGAUCAAAUGCCUGUUUCAAUCACGUCAAUGUGGACCGCGCCAGCCUAUCGCAUUUCUCAUCAAACUAGCAGUGCGAUCCUGUUACGUCUCUUAAUAUUUCAAAUGCCAUGAAUAGAGAUUAUCAGUCUUCAGAACUUGACGAAAAAUUCAGAUCAAGAUCAUCAACCCAGGUCAUUUUGCAUUAUAGGAGAUUGGUUAAGUGAUUUCCACAUCUCGAUAUGACGUGCCAAUUGUUCUUGCAUGGAAGGAUCAUUUCAGGUUUUAGCAAGUUAUUAGCUGAUGAUCUAGCAAACAUCAGGUGGUUAGAACAAAUGUCCUAAUUUAUCCUCUCCAAUGGAAGAAAUAUAGAUGUUGUAGUUUGUUAUUUCUAAGAGAAUGAUAGCCCUUCAAGGGUUUUUUUUUGAUAUUAUAUUACUUGAUAUUGUUCAUUUUCAUGACAUUAUGUCUGAAUCUUCUGCAGAACGUUGCAUUUUGGA